UACGUAGGGUGCGAGCGUUGUCCGGAAUUACUGGGCGUAAAGAGCUCGUAGGUGGUUUGUCGCGUUGUUCGUGAAAUCUCACGGCUUAACUGUGAGCGUGCGGGCGAUACGGGCAGACUAGAGUACUGCGGGGGAGACUGGAAUUCCUGGUGUAGCGGUGGAAUGCGCAGAUAUCAGGAGGAACACCGGUGGCGAAGGCGGGUCUCUGGGCAGUAACUGACGCUGAGGAGCGAAAGCGUGGGGAGCGAACAGG
rnacentral:rRNA from 1 species